UCAUUUAGAGGAAGUAAAAGUCGUAACAAGGUCUCCGUUGGUGAACCAGCGGAGGGAUCAUUG
rnacentral:rRNA from 2 species